ensembl:lncRNA
GGGAUUCGUGAACAUUCUUGACAAAGAGACAAAAUCCCGGGGAACAUCCCCACCUGCCGCCACCACCAACCGAACUCACAAUGCCCUCCAUCCGUCUUUCCCUCUUUAUCCUGGGUUUGGUUGUGGCUUGUGUCUCAGGUGAAAAAUCAAAUACCACUUCAAACCCCACAAAUUCAAACUCCAAAAUUUCAAACUCCGAAACUUCAAACUCCGAAACUUCAAAUGUAAAUGGCUCCACUACCGCCACUCAAACAUCCCUCAACGCCAUCACCACCACCGGAACCACCACCAAUGCCACCGAUGCCUCAAGCUACACACCGAGCAGCAGCGCCAUCUCGCCCUCGACAGCAACGCAGACCGGAUUCUCCAGUUCAAGUGGGGGAAGUGUCAAAACAACAAGCGCACCUAGAACCACGGACAAAAUGACAACAACUACCACCAAAGUACACAAAAAGGAGACAACCACCACUGCUAAGCCAGCUGAGACGGCGUCAGUGGACACCACCGGCAUUAUCAUCCUAGUUGUGAUCGGCGUCGUAAUCCUUGGAUUUGGAGUUUGCUGCUACUUACAGCGGAAUAGAAGAAGGCGGUACUCUGUGGACUUCACCUCCAGACCGGAUGAAGCCAACAUCCCUCUCAGCACCAUGGAGCCCGAGUUACAGGUCGAUGCCGCGCCUCAGAACGGACUGCAAACCUUUGAAAGGGAAGAAGCUAAGACAGAGAUGCGAGAACCAGAGGCCAAGCCUGAAGCAAAGGAGGAGCAGAAAGGUGAGGCUGAGGAAUCUCACGUUGGUCCCGGGGCUGAGUCUGCUGCCCCGGCGGCGACCCCAGAGAGCCCCGCGGACGAACCCAAAGCGGCCGCCGUUGAGCAGAGUCCCCCCGCGCCCGUGGAGCCAAGUGUGGACGAGAAAACCGACGAAGAAGGCGACGUCUCCAACAAGACCUCUGUGGAGUCGCUGAAAGAGACCAACGAGAACAACAGCAAUAAUGCCGACUUCAAUGCGACUGGAGAUGUGAUCAGCAUCAACUUCUGGGACGUUCCUCUCAAUAGUCCGCUGUGAGACAUUUCACCUAUCUGUGCUGUUCUUCAGGAACUUGAUUGAAGGAGUGACCACGACGGAGAAGGGCACGUCUGCUCGUACCGUGUGAGAUAUUUAGCGGGCUGUUUUCUCCUUGUUAGAAACAAAUUUACUGCAGCAGAGCAGCUUUUUCCCAGUUAAACGUUAGCUGAACUCUGAGUUUUAAGCAUUUUAGUGAUUUAACGGUGACUAUUUAGUUGGUCUAUAUACUAAAUGUGAUUACGUUUGGUACUGCAGAACAGUAAUACACGUUGAAUUUCAUCUCCCAAGCCAUUCAGCUUUUAUAAACUUAUAUAAACAUAUUAUACGUGGUUUCUAACACACUGAGAUGUAGUUUUAAGCAGCCAUAAUUUACUCUUUUUGUGGAAAUAUAUUAAUAGAGUAAAAUACAUUUGUAUUAAUAUACUUUACAUUAAUCAAACCUAACUGAUAUUCUUUCAUCACAUAACGAUAAACACAUUUGUAAAUAAUGAUGUAUAAAUAAGCAAGACGUUAUAAGAUUGUCAGAUUUAAAUCAGUGUUCUUUCUUAAAUUUAUGAUGUAAUGGUAUUUUGUAACUCAUGCAUUUUGAUUUUUUCAUGUGUUUCCCAUUCAGUAGUGUGAAGGUUUAUGCUAAAAAUUGCAAUGAAUGAUGAAAAGUAUUGUAAUUUGUCUUGAAUGUUUUUUGCAAUGAAUUUCCUUUACAGUUCAUAGGCGCCAUCUUGGCUAAUCUUAACCGACCACAUUACGUAAUGAAAAAAGUGACACAAACCAGCAGGUUGUUAACUGUAAAACAAAAUGAACAAACUAAAGAUGGGUCAAUGUUUCUUUUUACCAGAAAUCAUUUUGCUUAUAAAAUAAAAUAACUUGAUCAACAUUAUAUUCAUCAUGUAACCUUCAAUCCACAAUUGUUAUUCACAUUUCUGAUUAACAUCAAUAAACUGUAUACUCGCACAUCUUUGGCCUCUAAAAAUAAUCACCAUACAGUUUUUUCUGCUCACUUUCACCAGCUGUUCUUUUAGAUAUAAAAAUUGUAUCUGGUAGUAGACGUGUACAGUCAUUAUUGCUAAAUAAACCUUCAACAGAUGGAGGUUGAAUCUUAUUUUUGUUUUGUUUUAUGCAUUUUAUUUUUUGCUUUAUUUACUGUGUUUCAGAAAAAUGAUCUUACAAUACAG